AGAAUGAACGCUGGCGGCAUGCCUAACACAUGCAAGUCGAACGAGACCUUCGGGUCUAGUGGCGCACGGGUGCGUAACGCGUGGGAAUCUGCCCUUGGGUUCGGAAUAACAGUGAGAAAUUACUGCUAAUACCGGAUAAUGACGUAAGUCCAAAGAUUUAUCGCCCAAGGAUGAGCCCGCGUAAGAUUAGCUAGUUGGUGGGGUAAAGGCCUACCAAGGCGACGAUCUUUAGCUGGUCUGAGAGGAUGAUCAGCCACACUGGGACUGAGACACGGCCCAGACUCCUACGGGAGGCAGCAGUGGGGAAUAUUGGACAAUGGGCGAAAGCCUGAUCCAGCAAUGCCGCGUGAGUGAUGAAGGCCUUAGGGUUGUAAAGCUCUUUUACCCGGGAAGAUAAUGACUGUACCGGGAGAAUAAGCCCCGGACUAACUCCGCGCCAGCAGCCGC
rnacentral:rRNA from 1 species